CCUAGGAGAAAAAGAAAUAUUAAAUCAUUGCAAGACAGCUAGUCAGAGAAAUAAAAAUUCUUUUUCAUUUUAUUUUACAUUUUAAUUGACAAAUAAAAAAUAUAUAUAUAUUAUGUAUAACAUGAUAUUCUGAACUAGGUAUAUAUUGUAGAAUGGCUCAAUCAAGCUAAAUAACAUAUGCAUUAUUCCACACACUUAUUUUUGUGGCGAGGACAUGUAAAAUCUACAUUUUUAAAAUUACUAUUUAAAAAAAAACUUUUUUUAGAGAUAGAGUCUCAGCAUCUUGCCCAGGCUGGCCUCGAACUCUUGGGCUCAAGUGAUCCUCCUACCAUGGCCUCCCAAAGUGCUAGGAUUACAUGCAUGAGCCACCACGCCCAGCCUUAGUUAUUAUUUUUAAAAGACAGGGUCUCACUCCUGUUGUCCAGGCUGGAGUACAGUGGUGCAAUCACAGCUCACCAUAGCCUCAACCUCCUGGGCUCAAGUGAUCCUCUAACCUUAGCCUCCCAAGUAGCUGGGAUCACUGGUACACACCACCACAUCUAAUUUUGUUUUGUUUUGUUUUGCUUUUUUUUUUGGUAGAGACAGGGUCUCACUAUGUUGCCCUGUCUGGUCUCAUUCCUGGGCUCAAGCAAUUCUCCCAUGUUAGCCUCCAAAAGUGUUGGGAUUGCAGGCAUGAGCCAGUGCAUCUAGCCAAACUCUACUUUCUUAGUGAUUUUCAAAAUACAAUACAUUGUCAUUAACUAAAGUCACCAUGUUGUACAAUAGAUCUCUGAACUUAUUUCUCCUAUCUGAAAUUUUGUGUCCUUUCACCACCAUCUCCUCAAAGCCCCCCAUCCUCCUAGCCCCUGGUAACCACCAUUUUAUUUUCUACUCAUACUUUUUUAGAUUCCACAUAUCAGUGAGAACAUGUGGGUAUCUGUCUUUCUGUGCCUGGUUUAUUAAUGUCUUUUAGGUUCAUCCAUGUUGUUCCAGAUGACAGGAUUUUCUUCUUUUUUUAAGAGUGAAUAGUAUUCCACUGUGUAUAUAUCCCACAUUCUCUUUAUCCAUUCGUUCACUGAUAGACAUUUAGGUUGAUUCUGUAUCUUGGCUAUUGUAAAUGGUGCUGCAAUGAACAUUGGAGUGCAGAUAUCUUUUUGACAUACUGAUUUCAUUUCCUUUGGAUAUAUUAAAAAUUCUAUUCCAACUGUGUGGCUUACCCCUUGGAUUAAAACAUCUUAACAUAAGCCCAUUUCCUACUAAGAGAGGUCCUUCAGAGAGUAAGGUAGAACUAGAUUGUUCAACCAAGCCCAUUAUAUAAAAGGCUAUGUUAGGCAUCCAGCUUUGCCUGUUGGUGGCAGGUCCACCACGGAAGAAGCCCUAAUUCCAGAAUUCUAGGAAUCACACCAAGGUUGUCUUCAUGUUGGCUAUGUAAGAAUUUGUGCAACUAAGUGCUUUUAUCUUCCUAUGUUAUUUGUUUGUGCUAAUCAUAAUUGAUGGUAUUUUACCUCAAAUAUCAAAGAAUGUAUUUCAAAUCCCAGUAUUAGUCCAUUAUAUUUUUAUUUUUCUCUUAUUUGGCUUGAGAGUAAAGAAGAGGCAGACUGGAGGAUAUUAAGAGGAUGUACCUCCUGAAAGGAACAGAUACUUGAGAGGGGUAAGGAAGUUGACAGAGUUUCAAUUCUUAGAAAUAUUGCUGAGACAAGUUACCUAGCAGUUACCAAAGGAAUGUUAGUAACCUUAAACCAAGGGUGGGGAAGCAGGGAGUGCUUAAUAUGUGCCAUAUCUACUUCACAAUUUUACUUCAGGCAAAGCCAGCCAGGCUCUCAAAAGCUAACAUGAGACUACAAAUUGUGGAAUCCCAAAUUGUAGGACACCAAUCCAUUAUAUCUAGCAUCUAGAAUUCAAAGUGUCAAAGAAUUCAAUCCCGUAAAUAACUCUUUUAAUCUACUGGGAGAUGGUCUAUGUAAGUUCACAAAGAGCACCCAACAUCUAGUAUAGCAUCUGGCAUGUUAAGUAUUCAAAACUGGCAGUCAUUUUUAUUUUAACAGUUACACUGUCAUUACUUCCUUGGCUUCUGAGAUAGCUCUGCCAUAUUCAUGGUGUUGGAGAGAACCACUAGCUACCUCUCCCACUGCCCCUCCCACAUGACAGAUCUCUUGAUGGAGAGUACAAAGGAAGAAGAACUGAGGGGACAAUCAGAACUCGGGACAGGACAAGGAGUAGUGACAACACCGAAGUAAAUAAUAAUAAAGUAAAUGUACCAUAUUUGGAAUAAUGUCACUUCUUGACAAUGUGUGGUUUCUCUGAGACUGAUUAAAGCCUGACUUUUGGGUGGCUCACAUCUGUAAUCCUAGCAACUCAGAAGGCUGAGGCAGCAGGAUCAUGAAGGCCAGGAGUUUGAGAGCAGCCUAAGCAAUACAGUGUGACCUGCUCCCUAAAAAUAAUAAUAAAAAAAAUUUAAAUCUGACUUUUGGCUUUGUGUAACCCUAAUCUCAUUUUCUACAUUUAAAGUUUAAAAAUAGGGCUAUGGUGCUGCCAAUUCUUCACAACUACUCAAAAAAAUGAUUUUGAAACACUCUUAAGGGAUUCAAAAUAGCAGAGAUAUAAAUGUUUUCUUACAAACUUAAAAACGAAACAAACUAAAAGGGUAGGCCCCUAUUCCUGUCCUUAUUUAUUCCACAUGUGAAAAAAAUAUCCUUCAGUAACUAGACUUUUGAAUCUAUUUCUGUGUCUUAUGUUUUUCUUCCUCUCACCCCUUGUAAUUAAGAAAUGAGCUCUAUCUUCUCUUUUCCUCCUAGUGGCAUUUGUUUCUUAAUUCACGUGAGUUAGUAUUCUGGACAAUGGAUUAUCACCUACAGAUUUUGCUUCCUGUAGCAAGUUCCGUCAUCACUGGCUGAGAAAAGUAUUGGCUGUUUUUCAUAGUGUCUGCUUGGCCUAUACUUUUUAUUAGAUCAUGGUGAUAGGCAUUCUUAAGUUCCUUUACCUGGUGGUUAAUCUGUAGAAUGACAGAAUAUUGGCUGCAGGGGCACCUUAACACCUCUGCUUGUCUUCUGCAGCAUCUCCAGUGAGUCAUCUGACCUCAGCUUUUCCCUCCUGGUGAUGGGACACUCACUAUUGUAAGACGCAGUUCACUGCUAGAUAGUUCUUCCUUUAUAUUGGGCCUAUAAAAACCAUCUAUCUGACCUGAGUCUGCCUAAAAUAAAACAAAAACUCUCUUUCCCUUCUUCCUCUGAUAGUACAAAUAUUUUAUGUCCCUAUUUCUUUUUUUCCAAGAGGAAUUAUUCCAAUUCCUGAUCCUUUCGAGAACAGAGCUCAAAACUGGAGGUUGCUUCUGGUUCUGCGAUUCAUGAGAUUCUGCAAAAUAACAGCCACUAUUUCUCUAGAUUUUCCUAUUAAUGGUAUCAAAUUUGCUUUGACCAAAUCUCGGGUCAAAAUAACUAGAAAUUUUAUCAUACAAUUUAAAAAUAAUUCCACACAGUUUUGUGAUUCCUUUCGCAUAACCAAUUUGGUCAAAGUGGCAUGGUACUAGUGAAUUUACAUGAUCUAAUUCCAGUGCUGGAUGCAAUUUUUCCAAAAUCCAAGAAUGAGGUCUAUAAUGGAUAUGUGUUUUACAACCCUCUGAAUUUUUCUAUUUUUCUGAAUUUUCUAUUGCAAAUUUCUACAUUUGCAAUGUGUACGUCAAAUAAAAGAAAAAUGAAAUACAAUGUAAUAUAUAAAAUACAAAUAUAAAAGCAGUAUAUAAUAGCUAACAUCAACGGUAAAAGAAUGAAUGCUUUCCUCCUCAGAUCAAGAACACGAUAAGGAAGGCUUCUUUCACUAUUCAACUUUGUACCAUUUUGUACAACUUUGUACAACUUUGUACUAUUCAACAUUGUACUAGAAGUUCUAGCCAGAGCAAUUAGGCAUGAAUAAGAAAUAAAAGAGAUCCAAACUGGAAACAAAGAAACAGAAUAAUUUCUAUUUGUAGAUCCUAAAGAAGUCACAAAAUAACUGCUAGAUCUAAUAAACUAAUUCAGCAAAGUUGCAAUGUAAAAGAUCAACACACAAAAUCAAUUGUAUUUCUAUACAUUAGCAAUGAACAAGCAGAAAAGGAAAUAAUUCCACUUAUGAUAGCAUCAAAAAUAAUAAAAUACUCGGGAAUCAAUUUAAUCAAAGAGGUAUAAGACCUGUACACUGCCCAUAUGCGGUGGCUCAUGCCUGUAAUCCCAGCACUUUGGGAGGCUGAGGCGGGCAGAUCACAAGGUCAGGAGUUCGAGACCAGCCUGGCCAACAUGGUGAAACCCCGUCUCUACUAAAAACAUACAAAAAUUAGCCGGGCCUGGUGGCGUGCACCUGUAAUCCCAGCUACUCAGGAGGCUAAGGCAGGAAAAUUGCUUGAACCCAAGAGGCAGAGGUUGCAGUGAGCCGAGAUCGCGCCACUGCAAUCCAGUCUGGGCGACAGAGUGAGACUCUGUCUCAAAAACAAAAACAAAAACCACUGCUGAAGGAAAUUAAAGAAUAUCUAAAUAAGAGAAAAAGCAUCCUAUGUUAAUGGACUGUAAUAUUUAGUAAGAUGGUAAUACUCCCCAAACUGAUCUACAUUGUCAAUGCAAUUUCUAUCAAAAUCCCAACAACCUUUUUUGUAGAAACAGAAAAGCUGAUCCUAAAAUUCAGAUAGAAUUGCAAGGCAUCCCAAAUAACAAAACCUUGAAAAAGGAAAAUGUUAGAGGACUUACACUUGUCAAUUUCAAAACUCACUACAAAGCAACUAUUACCAAAAUAGUUUGGUAUGAGCAGACAGACAGACAUCCAAUGAAUCAGAACUAAAAGUUCUGAAGUAAACCCUCACAUAUAUGGUCAACUGAUUUUCAUCAAGGAUGCUAAGACCAUUCAAUGGAGAAAGAAUGGUCUCUUCAACAAUAAUACUAUUAGGAAAACCUGAUAUCCACAUACAUGUAUAUGGAUGGAUGAAUGCAUGAAUGAAGCUGGACCCCUUACCUUACAUCAUAUACAAAAAUUAACUCAAAAUGGAUCAAUGGCCUAACUGUAAGAGCUAAAACUAUAAAAAUGUUAGAAGAAAACACUGGGAUAAAUCUUCAUAACCUUAGGUUUGGCAAUGGAUUCUUAGGUAGUCUUAAAAGCAUGGGCAAUGCAAGAAAAAAAUACAUAAAUAAUCAAAAUUAAAAACUUUUGUGCACCAAAGGAUACUACCAAAAAGUGAAGACAACUUACAGAGUGGGAGAAAAUAUGUGCAAAUUAUGUAUCUGAUAAGGGUCUAAUAUCCAGAAUAUAUAACAUGUUGAACCGCCAGGUGUUGAUGUGGUUAAUAAGGACAAGGCAAAUUAAAAGUAACCAUCAAGUUUUUAUUCACUUCUUGCCACAGUAUAAGCAAGGGGCAAAAUGAGAGGUGCUAGUUCUCCAGUGUUUCAUUACUUCCCUAGGAAAGGGUGAGAUAAAUAUGCACUGCUGGGUUGUCGGGGUGGGGCACACUGUCUCACUGCUGAGAAGCCCUGAAGAAGGCUGCUGCCUCUCUGCAUCUUCAUGAACCCAGGGGCCCACGGGGAGGAAGAGGAGGAAGGGCUAGAAGCAGAAAAGUACUGAGUCAGAUAAGACAGAAAUACCUUAGUCAAAGCCUCCAAAAGGAAGCCUCAGUGGAGGUACCUGGGAAGUGCCUCAGCCAACUCCCCCAUCUCCUCAUAAGAAGGCCUCCAAACAGAGUCACCUGAGCUAGGAAUACAGCUGUGUGUGAGUGUGGCUGCAGGGAGUCUCAGUCACUGCCAGUAAGUACCUCCAGAAAACAGCAUACACUGGCAUGGAAAAAAAAAAAAAAGACACUUAUCUGAGGAAUGCAAGCCUGUUUAAAUUAUCAGGUCCAGAGAGGCACUGGAAUGAAACAGCAGUCACAUCACUCCCCCUUGAGCUAAAUAAUUAUCUCUUGAAGACACUUGCUAUGUGGGCUCUAGGCUAACUGACAAGAAGAAGCCACAACUGCCAUAUGCUGGACACCCUAACUCAUACCCUCUAAUUCAAAAAUGUAUAGCCAAUCACUGAACAAUGAUAUAUCUGUCAACUAUUGAGAAUUCCUGUCAAAUAACUUUGUAUUAGCCCACUCCUUGUUCUCUCUCCCUUUAAAAAUUUGCUUGUAACAAGGGCUGAGGGUACACUCCCCAAGGCAACUUUAACACACACCAGGGGCAGCUGUCUUCACUCUGGCUCAAGUAAACUCUUUAAAUUAUAUUUUGUGCCUCAACUCUUCCUUUUAGGUCAACAUUUCCUUAGGUAUGGGGAAAGCAGCUUCCGCCAUUGAGUUUGUCAGAUAAAGCCUUGUAAUUGUCUAUAGUGGGCUCAAACAUCACGUAAGAUUUUGGCCUGAGGCCAAAUUCCUCAUAAAGAAUUCUAAUAACAGAAAGAAAGCCAACCCACUAAAAAUGAGCAAAGGGCUUGAAUAGACAUUUCUCCAGAAGAUAUACAAAUGGCCAAAUAGCACAUGAAAAGAAGUUCAACCUCUUCCCUAAUUAAUAUUAGAGAAAUACAAAUUGAAAUCACAAUGAGAUACAAUUUCAUACUCAUCAGGAUGGCAAUAACUAACCAAAACCAAAAAAGGGAAAAUAACAAGUGUUGUCCAAGAUGAAGAGAAGUUGGAACUGUUGUAUAUUGUUAGUGGAAAUGUAAAAUAGUGUAGCUUCUGAGAAUUAGAAUCUCACCCAGGAAUUCUACUCCUAGGUAUAUGACCCCCAAAAUGGAAAAUAAUUAUAAGAAUUCAAAUAUUUAUACACAAAGAGCAAUACUACUUAUAACAGUCAAAAAGUGGAAAGAACCCAAAUGUCCAUCAAGAGAUGAAUGAAUAAACAAAAUGUGGUGUGUAUAUAUGUGUGUGUGUGAUGGAAUCUUAUUCAGCCACGAAAAGGAAUGAAGUAUUGAUAUAUGCUAAAAUGUGGAUAAACCUCAAAAACAUUAUGCUAAGUGAAAAAAGAGAGAUACAAAGGUCACAUGUAUACAUCGGAGAUGGGGUGCAUCUGAUUGCCUGGUGUCAGAAGUGUGUUGUGAUGAGUUUCAGAGCAAGAAAAACAGUUUGGUUUGGUAUCCGUCUCAUACAGUCAGGUACUUUGAGGCUGAUGUCACAAACUAGUUUAUUAUCUCAUAAAGGAACAAACAAACAAACAAACAAAAACCUUACAUACUUGCCUAACAAACAUGUCAAAACACUUUAUCAAGAACUUACAAGACAGAAAAAAAAGUGAAUUAAAUGCUGUACCUAAUUUCUCAUAAAGAUAGAAGAUACUGCACAAGAUAUUUGUUUGGUAAUGUUUGAUAAUCUCCUUAAUUUACCAUCCUGGAUUUGGAGCAAACUCCUCAUCUGCUCAGGCAUGAAUACUGUUUUUCUUUUGGAAAAAAAAAAAAAAAAGGAAAGUAAACCAGCCUGUCAUUUUGGUACAGUGUAGUGCCUCUGAGUACUGUCUGCCUCAACUGUGUGAGUUUUGUCUAGCUGUGUGACCUUGUAUGAAGACAAAAGGCUUUUUGAAUGAAAGUCCUAAAAUCACCCUUCAAUGGCAACUCUUUAAAAGAAUGAUGGAAUCAAGAAAUUAGCCCUUGGGAAAAAUAUCUUUUAGACAAUGGCCAUUUUUAAAAUUUAUAAAUAUAUUCAUAUUUGUCCUUUAAAAAGAAAUUCAU